CUAGAUCAGAAGCGAGAAUGUUGACAUGAGUAGCGACAAACAGGGUGAGAAACCCUGUCGCCGAAAGUCCAAGGGUUCCUGCUUAAAGCUAAUCUGAGCAGGGUAAGCCGGCCCCUAAGGCGAGACCGAAAGGCGUAGUCGAUGGGAACCAGGUUAAUAUACCUGGGCCAGUGGGAUGUGACGGAUCGCAGAUGUAGUUUGCCCUUAUCGGAUUGGGUGGGCUGCUGAGCGGUUCCAGGAAAUAGCCCCACAUCAGACCGUACCCUAAACCGACACAGGUGGACUGGUAGAGUAUACCAAGGCGCUUGAGAGAACCACGUUAAAGGAACUCGGCAAAAUGCCUCCGUAAGUUCGCGAGAAGGAGGCCCCAUAUGUACGCAAGUAUGUGUGGGGGGCACAAACUAGGGGGUGGCGACUGUUUAUUUAAAACACAGGGCUGUGCGAAGCCGUAAGGCGACGUAUACAGUCUGACGCCUGCCCGGUGCUGGAAGAUUAAGAGGAGGGGUGCAAGCUCUGAAUUGAAGUCCCAGUAAACGGCGGCCGUAACAAUAACGGUCCUAAGGUAGCGAAAUUCCUUGUCGGGUAAGUUCCGACCUGCACGAAUGGCGUAACGAUCUCCCCGCUGUCUCUAACGUGGACUCAGCGAAAUUGAACUGUGUGUCAAGAUGCACACUACCCGCGGUUAGACGGAAAGACCCCAUGAACCUUUACUCCAGCUUUGCACUGGUAUCAGGAUUGUGAUGUGCAGGAUAGGUGGUAGGCAUUGAAGCGGGGACGCCAGUCUUCGUGGAGCCUCCCUUGAGAUACCACCCUUCGCCAUCUUGAUAUCUAACCGCGGCCCGUUAUCCGGGUCCGGGACCCUGCAUGGUGGGGAGUUUGACUGGGGCGGUCGCCUCCCAAACAGUAACGGAGGCGCGCGAUGGUUGGCUCAGACCGGUCGGAAAUCGGUCGUUGAGUGCAAUGGCAGAAGCCAGCCUGACUGCAGGACUGACAAGUCGAGCAGAGACGAAAGUCGGUCAUAGUGAUCCGGUGGUCCCAAGUGGGAGGGCCAUCGCUCAACGGAUAAAAGGUACUCUGGGGAUAACAGGCUGAUGAUGCCCAAGAGUCCAUAUCGACGGCAUCGUUUGGCACCUCGAUGUCGGCUCAUCUCAUCCUGGGGCUGGAGCAGGUCCCAAGGGUAUGGCUGUUCGCCAUUUAAAGAGGUACGUGAGCUGGGUUUAGAACGUCGUGAGACAGUUCGGUCCCUAUCUGCCGUGGGUGCAGGAGACUUGAGAAGAGUUGACCCUAGUACGAGAGGACCGGGUUGAACGAACCACUGGUGGACCAGUUAUCGUGCCAACGGUAGUGCUGGGUAGCUAUGUUCGGACAGGAUAACCGCUGAAGGCAUCUAAGCGGGAAGCCCCCUUCAAAACAAGGUCUCCCUUGAGGGCCGUGGAAGACGACCACGUCGAUAGGCCAGAGGUGUAAGUGCAGCAAUGCAUUCAGCUGACUGGUACUAAUUGCCUAA
rnacentral:rRNA from 1 species